GACGAACGCUGGCGGCGUGCCUAAUACAUGCAAGUCGAACGCAGUGGGGACGGGUGAGUAACACGUCGGUAACCUCUCCAUCAACGGGGGUAACACUUGCAAACAGGUGCUAAACCGAUACUGCUGGAUGGACCCGCGGUGCAUUAGCUAGUUGGUGAGGUAACGGCUCACCAAGGCCACGAUGCAUAGCCGACCUGAGAGGGUGAUCGGCCACACUGGGACUGAGACACGGCCCAGACUCCUACGGGAGGCAGCAGUAGGGAAUCUGCGGCAAUGGACGAAAGUCUGACCGAGCAACGCCGCGUGAGUGAAGAAGGUUUUCGGAUCGUAAAACUCUGUUGUUAGAGAAGCGGUAUCUAACCAGAAAGCCACGGCUAACUACGUGCCAGCCGCCGCGGUAAUUC
rnacentral:rRNA from 1 species